CAAGGAUGGGCCGGUGAUGGAGACCAGCACGCAGCUCUGUCCAUGUCUGAAGGAGUGCGUAGGCCGGGAGAGAGGACAUCUUCGGAAAACAGCCCGCUUUCCUGACCCACCCAGCACCAACCCUGAGACCACCAUGGGCUGGAGCCCAGCAUGGCCAUCAAUAUCUCUUGUUCCAAGACGUCCAGACUGGACUUCUGGGGGUCCAAGACAAUGGGCCCUUGAAGAGCCUCCAGGUCUAGCCUUGGCCCUGGAGGACCAAGUAAGGGCCCACCAGGACCACGGAGAACUUCAGGAGGGCCAACAUGGCCGGGCACCCGGUGGGAUACUGCGUCCCUCAAGAAGAUCACCCGGGAGGUGGUUCCCAGCGUCCACCUCUGUGGGCCCAGCGCUUUUCCAGAUGCCCUGCAGUCCAACCCAGUGGAGACGGGUGAUGGAGCUGGCGAUGGAGCAGGAGGAGAGGCGCCCAGAGGGCAGAGGGGCGCUGCGGGCCCAGCCAGGCACGGACCCUGUCCAUGGAUCUGGGGGCCUGGCCUCCUCACCAAGAGGGGCGUGUGGGAAUACACCCCAUGGUGGUGGGGUGUCCAGGAACACAGCAGUAAUCGGGGAUCCACCUGGGUUCCAGGAACUUCUCCACGUCUCCCCUUGGCCUGGGCCCCAUGGGCUGAGACCCCUUCACCGGACCAGGGCGAGAACCAGACUCCCACCUCCCAGUCCUAGGCGCCAGUCCCCAGAACUCUGUCAUGGCUUGGGAGGGGCCACUCAGCUGGUUCAGGGGACUACCAUCCUGUGUCUGCGACUUCAGGACCCCUUCUCCCUCCCGGCUCUCAGGUCACUCAGUCUCUUGGGUGGGGCUGCCAAGAGGGGUGGGUGGCUCUCAGACCCUCUGUCCCAGGAGCACCUGUCCCACACUCCCACCGCCCUGGCCUGCCACUCCUCACCCCAAGACGCAGAGCUGGGUCUUCCUCCCCAGAUCGGCUUGUUUUGUGUCUGCUUGUGGGUCGGCAUCCCAGCCAUGGGGUGGCUGGAGGUCCUCUACUGCCCCAGCCCUGGGAAACGCACAGCCUUAUGAAAUGGCACCCACCGGGCUGGCUCCUGGCUGGAGCAGGACCCACGUUUGACAGUAUGGUGGCCAGGUCUCCUCCACCUCCUCUCAGCUCCAGGACUCUCCUCUCUCCAACCUGCUCAUCUGCUUCCUGUCCAUGCUUCUCCCAGGACAUCUCUCCCAUCACAGCUGCCCCGGCCCCAGCUAGACACCCUUUCUGGGUCCUCAAGCAGGCCACUCCAUGCCCCGGGCAUCCCACUUUGUCUCCAUCUGGCCCCUGGAUUCACUGCCCCUGAAGCUCUUCUUCUUCUCUAAAUGUCCACUUUGUCCCCUGGGAGUCCGUCCAUCCUCUGAAGACACUCAUCUGUUGGGCCAGCCCUGGUCCUGUCCACCUGGCAGUCUCCUUUCCCGUCUUGCAGAAAUUCUGUUUCUGAUGCUCCUCACACAAUGGCAAGGCAUCAGAAGGGGAGACCAGGCUCCGGGGACUUCCCCAGGGGAUGGACACGGGGAACAGGGGAGCUGUACCCAGGGGUGGCCAGAUCCCCAAGAGGUCUGUCUUUGGAGCCCAUGGCUGGGACAAGAGGCUUCCCUUGGUGCCUGUGUGUCCUGCGUGGAGUCCUCCAUGUCUAGCGCUGGCACAUAGAACCUCCACUCUCCUGAAGGUUGGUGCAGCCUGCCCACUGAGUCCCAUGGGCUCCCAGUGGCACUGGACUUGAGGAACUCUUUGGUCACAGUAGGGUAGAGAAUGAGGAUCCAGAGCCAACCCCAGGACCACGCCAAACUACCAAGGUCUUACUUGAACAGGAGACUCCCAUCCGGAGAGGUCCUGCUGGCCAUCCUCUGGAACCCUGCCCUCCGGGGCCACCCACAGGACUCCAGCGGGGCUGGGGUGCCCUCCUCCCUGGGUUUGCCCACCCCUCCUGGAAGGGGAAGCCGAGCCAGCCGUUCCGAGAGUGGGAGGUGUUGCGGCCAUUUUGUGCCUCUCUGAACCUUCAGGAGGGCUGUGUGUAGGGCCGGCAGGGAGAGGCAGGAGGCUGGAGAGAAGGCAGAGGAGCGUCAAGGGGAGGGGGUGGAACGUGGGCAGCAUGGUGAGGAGAGGCAAGGGGGAAACAAGGUGGCCCAGCAGCCCUGGGGCCUGGGCCAAGUCCCCCUCCGGAGGCAUAUGAUGCCCUGCUGGCCUGGCUCUGCCUACGGCGUGUGGGGUUUGCAGAAAGUGCUGAUCCGCUAAGCCCCAGGGGCCAAGCUGGGCUCGGAAGCUCAGGAAGGAACAUGGUGCCCCCAAAUACUGCCCGGCCUCGGGCACUGCCGACCCAUCUCCCAUUUCCAGGGCACCCGGGGACGGGCAAGGCGUGGUGCUCAGCCGGGCCACGGGCCCUCACCCGGGAGGAGGUUAACAUCCACACUCCUUGGACACCUCUGCCUGGUGGCAUGGGUCCCUCCCCACAAGAGCCCCCAGAGUGCUGGUCAUCUGUGCCUCCGAGGGAAGAGGAAGGAAGGGAGAGGGCUGCUGGCCUGGCCUGGCCCCUGCCUAGCCCCACAGUGCCCUUCUCUGGCAGGACUCCAGCGGGUCUGGGGUGCCCUCCUCCCUGGGUUUGCCCACCCCUCCUGGAAAGGGAAGCCUGGCUUUGGAGGGCAACCAGCUCCCACCGGCCUCACCCCUCCCACUUGCCCCCACUCGCCCUGGCAG
rnacentral:lncRNA from 1 species